UUCAAACAGAGGAAGGAAAAACAACCGCCGAAUGGGAAAGACAGAGACGGAGAGAAAAUGCGCGCGAGAGAGAUGCUGAUGAAAGCAGAAUGGAGGGAAUAUAAACUGAAGUCCCAGCAGCUGUGUCGAGGGCUAUGGGGACGACUCUCCCGGCCAAGUUCCAUGUCCGCUCUGAUUAUGAGCUUGGAACAAUGCGGCCCAUUGUGGGUUCGCUGCUUCACCAUUCUCUCAUCAUCUCCCACAACCCCCCCAUGCCUCUCAAUUGGUCCAUCUCACACAAACACUCGCUUUAUAGAUAUGUGCACGCUCUCAUAAACCACAAAUUUAGGCAAAGAGAUACUUUGAAUCACCACAUCUGUCCUGUGAUUCUGCUUUUGGCAGGUGAGGCGGCUCUGAUUUGGAAGCGUUGAAGCUAAAUGGAAACACAUCUAGGGCACCUUUGAGGACUACAACAAAUGGCUGGUAGGGACCACAACGAGCUUCUUCCCAGGAAUUGUGAUAACAUUCAAGGACAGCAAAAUGAGCCUGAACUCAAACAAAAGCAGGUCACAGCACUCUGCACCCUAGUGAGCGGUAAUCAGACCAAAUCUUGCCUGAGGAACAACAGAUGCAGAGGUGCUUUAAUCACCAAUAUGCAACACCUGCGGUAAAGAGGCCUAGUUAAAAUUUUACAGAACCUCUUGAGAAAGAAAGGGCAAGAGAUAGACAGAGAAAGAGAGAGAGAGAGAGAGAGAGAGAGAGAGAGAGAGAGAGUCUGAUUUUCAUGAAUGAGAUAUCCAGAAAAAUCAUGACGAUGAUGGUAGGUAUUUUCAGGCUGUAUUCGGUUUCAAGGUUCUGUGAUCUGAUUGGAUGCAGCUGCAAAAGACACCCAGAGCACCAUGGGAAUGAAACAGCAGCUGGAUUUGGUGCACAGCCUUAGAACCUAGAAAAACAAACUCUCUCUCUCUCUCUCUCUCUCUCUCUGUGCGUAUCAUUAACUUUUCAAGUAGUGCACUGUGUCCAAAGCUUUUCACAAAGCACAAGAUAGAAUAUUUGUGUACACAUUACAAACAGAUUUUAAAGUAAAAAAAAAAAAAAAAACAAGGGUAACACUUUACUUAAAGCCAUUCAUGUAUCAGUGCAUUCAUUAUGACUUGUAAUGCACUUUAUAAUGCAUUGUAUGGUCUCAUGAAUAACUGUAAUCACAUUAAUAUAUUAUAAUACACCUUCAGAAAGUAAUGCAUUAAAACACGGCAAACAACCAAUUUCAGAUGUAACAAGAAAUCUGUGAAUAUUAUAAUGCAUUUUAACUUACAAUUAUUCAUGAAAAGAUAUAAUACAUUAUAAUGUACAUUAUGAAUACCUUUAUAAUGCAUCAUACAUAAAGGCUUUAAGUAAAGUGUUACCAAAAAAAUUAGAAACUAUACUACACAUGGCUUUACAUGUGGGUUGUCAUUAAAAUAUUUAAUCAUGAUUACUCUUGUAAUUUAAAAUUAGUUAGUGGUUUCAGUUACAAUGAAAACUAAAUAAUAUGGUACUCAUAGCAUAAAUUUAUGUAACAUGAACCUUUCUUAACAUAU